rnacentral:rRNA from 1 species
UCGGGAAUAUUGGUCAAUGGGCGCAAGCCUGAACCAGCCAUGCCGCGUGCAGGAUGUAGGCCCUCAGGGUUGUAAACUGCUUUUGUAUGGGAAUAAAAAAGUCCUUGCGAGGACUCUUGAAGGUACCAUAAGAAUAAGCACCGGCUAACUCCGUGCCAGCAGCCGCGGUAAUACAGAGGGUGCGAACGUUGCUCGGAAUGACUGGGCGUAAAGCGCGGGCAGGUGGCCCGUUAAGUCGGCUGUGAAAUCCCCUGGCUCAACCAGGGAAGUGCAGUCGAUACUGGCGGGCUCGAGUCCCGGAGAGGGUGGUAGAAUUCCCAGUGUAGAGGUGAAAUUCGUAGAUAUUGGGAGGAAUACCGGUGGCGAAGGCGACCGCCUGGACGGGUACUGACACUGAGGCGCGAAAGCGUGGGGAGCAAACAGGAUUAGAUACCCGUGUAGUCC